rnacentral:rRNA from 1 species
CCUACGGGAGGCAGCAGUGGGGAAUAUUGGGCAAUGGGCGCAAGCCUGACCCAGCAACGCCGCGUGAAGGAAGAAGGCUUUCGGGUUGUAAACUUCUUUUCUCAGGGACGAAGCAAGUGACGGUACCUGCGGAAUAAGCCACGGCUAACUACGUACCAGCAGCCGCGGUAAUACGUAGGUGGCAAGCGUUAUCCGGAUUGACUGGGUGUAAAGGGAGUGUAGGCGGGAAAGCAAGUCAGAUGUGAAAACCAUGGGCUCAACCUGUGGCCUGCAUUUGAAACUGUUUGUCUUGAGUACUGGAGAGGCAGACGGAAUUCCGAGUGUAGCGGUGAAAUGCGUAGAUAUUAGGAGGAACACCAGUGGCGAAGGCGGUCUGCUGGACAGAGACUGACGCUGAGGUGCGAAAGCGUGGGGAGCAAACAGGAUUAGAUACCCGAGUAGUC